UACGAAGGGGGCUAGCGUUGUUCGGAAUUACUGGGCGUAAAGCGCACGUAGGCGGAUUUGCCAGUCAGGGGUGAAAUCCCGGGGCUCAACCUCGGAACUGCCUCUGAUACAGCAAGUCUUGAGUCCGGAAGAGGUGGGUGGAAUUCCUAGUGUAGAGGUGAAAUUCGUAGAUAUUAGGAAGAACACCAGUGGCGAAGGCGGCCCACUGGUCCGGUACUGACGCUGAGGUGCGAAAGCGUGGGGAGCGAACAGG
rnacentral:rRNA from 1 species